GCGCGAGCAGGUGCGAAAGCAGGUCAUAGUGAUCCGGUGGUUCUGAAUGGAAGGGCCAUCGCUCAACGGAUAAAAGGUACUCCGGGGAUAACAGGCUGAUACCGCCCAAGAGUUCAUAUCGACGGCGGUGUUUGGCACCUCGAUGUCGGCUCAUCACAUCCUGGGGCUGAAGUAGGUCCCAAGGGUAUGGCUGUUCGCCAUUUAAAGUGGUACGCGAGCUGGGUUUAGAACGUCGUGAGACAGUUCGGUCCCUAUCUGCCGUGGGCGCUGGAGAACUGAGGGGGGCUGCUCCUAGUACGAGAGGACCGGAGUGGACGCAUCACUGGUGUUCGGGUUGUCAUGCCAAUGGCACUGCCCGGUAGCUAAAUGCGGAAGAGAUAAGUGCUGAAAGCAUCUAAGCACGAAACUUGCCCCGAGAUGAGUUCUCCCUGAGACUUUAGGUCUCCUGAAGGAACGUUGAAGACGACGACGUUGAUAGGCCGGGUGUGUAAGCGCAGCGAUGCGUUGAGCUAACCGGUACUAAUGAACCGUGAGGCUUAACCUUACAACGCCGAAG
rnacentral:rRNA from 1 species